rnacentral:rRNA from 1 species
GACGAACGCUUGCGGCGUGCCUAAGAAAUGCAAGUCGAGCGAGGUUAGAGAGCUUGCUCUCGAAGCCUAGCGGCGAACGGUCGCGUAACACGUGGGUAACCUGCCCUAUGGAGGGGGAUAACACAAAGAAAUUUGUGCUAAUACCGCAUAAUGUAGUACCAUCGCAUGAUGGAACUAUCAAAGAUUAAUUGCCAUAGGAUGGACCCGCGGCCCAUUAGCUAGUUGGUGAGGUAACGGCUCACCAAGGCGACGAUGGGUAGCCGACCUGAGAGGGUGAUCGGCCACAUUGGAACUGAGACACGGUCCAGACUCCUACGGGAGGCAGCAGUGGGGAAUAUUGCACAAUGGGGGAAACCCUGAUGCAGCAACGCCGCGUGAGUGACGAAGGCCUUCGGGUCGUAAAACUCUGUCUUAGCUGACGAUAAUGACGGUACCACUGAAGGAAGCACCGGCUAACUCCGUGCCAGCCGCCGCCGUAAGAC